GAUGAACGCUAGCGGGAGGCUUAACACAUGCAAGUCGAGGGGCAGCAUAGGGUAGCAAUACUCUGAUGGCGACCGGCAAACGGGUGAGUAACGCGUAUGCAACCUACCCUGUACAGGGGGAUAACCCGGAGAAAUUCGGACUAAUAUCCCGUAAUAAUAUCCGGAGGCAUCUUUGGAUAUUUAAAGUUCCGACGGUACGGGAUGGGCAUGCGUAACAUUAACUGGUUGGUAAGGUAACGGCUUACCAAGGCUAUGAUGUUUAGGGGUCCUGAGAGGGUGGUCCCCUACACUGGUACUGAGACACGGACCAGACUCCUACGGGAGGCAGCAGUGAGGAAUAUUGGUCAAUGGGCGCAAGCCUGAACCAGCCAUCCCGCGUGCAGGAAGACGGCCCUAUGGGUUGUAAACUGCUUUUCCAGGGAGAGAACUUACGCACGUGUUGCGUGACUGACGGUACCCUGGGAAUAAGCAUCGGCUAACUCCGUGCCAGCAGCCGCGGUAAAAGUCAACGUCG
rnacentral:rRNA from 1 species